CUACAGAAAAAAAAAACAUGAUAACGUACACAUUAUUCAUUAGUCAAACCCUUACUUGCUAUAGUCUAUGAUUAUGUGUGUAUACGCGUCUCUUUCGUGUAUUCAUGUAUAGAUAUAAAAAUGCUCGAUCAAUUUAGUAACGGAAGUAACUAUUUAAAUCAAAUAUAAAUCGAAUUAAUUUUACACCACAACAAAGCAGUUCAGUUCUUAAUUUAUAGGUUUCUACUUCCUCUAUAUAAUGAAAAAAUCGGAAAGCAAUUCAAACUAUGAUAACAAUGUAUUACCUUUUGAGAGGACCCAAGCCUCGACUGCCAAGAACAAUAGAAUCGAGUUUUAGAUUUUCGACGGCAUCGCAAAGUUUCUCCCUUGGAUCUCCCCAAUACACUUUUGCCACCACCUUCACCUUUAAAUAAGAAAAAAACAUUUAAAGAAACAAACACAAAACUGAAACGACGACCAAAAACAAUAGUAGUUGUAAUAUUAAAAUACCUUCUUUGCCCUAGAGAGAGUAUCAAGAACAUUAAGAACCUCCGGAUCAUAAGCAAGUCCAUACUGUUUAGAGAAAUUAACCUCUCUAAAUUCUUCCAGGGGAAUCAAAGCUGCAGUAAUUAGUUAGUAAUUAUUUUAAAUGAUCACAAGUAAACUAAGAUAUUUUUUUCUUUCUAAAAAUAUGAAAAUAUGGUAAUUAUAUACAUACGUGAACCGGUUUCCUCAAAGAGGAUUUUGCGGGUGUGCUCAGCGUUUUGGGGUUGAACAUGAAUCAAAAUGAUGGUGUCUCCAUCGUCAAGGAGAUUCUCCGCCGUCCACCGAAGAGCCGAUUUGCUCGUUGGAGAGUAGUCCAUUCCCACACCCACCGUACGUGCUUUAACCAUUUCUAUUACUAUUUCUAUUUCUUUCUCUUUCUCGAUGAUUUCUAAGUGAGAUGUUAAGAAAGCAAGGUAGUUUGAUUUAUAGUAUAACCGGUUUGAUGGUUUGGAGAAUAAUUGGGCACACAGAAUUCUAAAUAUUUAAUGAUUGCUUUUUCUUUUGGCUGUUUUCAGAUUAUGAUGGGGAGAUUCUUGAAGUUUCUAGGUGAUCUGUCUUGCUUACUUUUCCUAAAACACUACAGAUAGUCAUUAGGACAUAAUUUUCUUUCACUUUUUUUUUUCUUUCUUCAUCACAAUAUGAAUUUUAAUUAAGUUUGUAUGUAUUAUCUUUGCAUAACACUGUGAAUUUUUAUUAACGUCUCAUUUCAUUUGUCAAGAGAAAUAUACACAUAUAUAUUGUUGAUAAAUAAAUUGUUUUAUUUUUAGCUACAUAUGUAACUUAAUUAUAUGUUAAUCAAUGUCUUAACUUGGUAGUGGGCAAAGAAAUGAUGUGUGUCACUGAAGACCCAUAGAAGAUAAGUAUUUGAUAUAUGGUGUGUUAAAGUGAAGUUAUCUUUAUAUCACUUGCUGUCCAAGAAAUUAAUAUUCUUUGUCAACUUUUAGCAAAGGCAAUUAUAUUCUUCAACUUGUAUUCUUUUAUAAGCUUUUAUUUACUCAUUAUUUAUUGUUCGAUGGAACUAGAUACCAACCUAUGAAAGCAACGUUUUUACAAGAAAAAACAUUUCAUGGCCGGGGGAAAUGAAAUAUCAGAAAGAAAAACUGAUAAUCAGAAGUCGUGGGCCGACAGUUAAUUAAUUAUAAGUUGUUUAAAUAUUCAUUGGGCUUAAUUACGAUGGCAUAGUGUAUAUUGCUAAUCAAACAAAUGUGAGUGAUAGUGGUUUUGAUGCUUGGGUCUAUAGUGAAGCCUUAUAAAAUGUGUUUUAUCCUUUAGGCUUCUGUAUGUAUAGGAGAGAAAAGGAAUACACAAUCUUAGGUACGAAGAUCUUUUGGUUAUAGACUAACCUAUCAAAGAGAUAUUUUAGGUAUGAUUCUAGCGUUUAGUAAUUGGUUGUUUGAACUUGAUUACAUUAGUUAAUAAUAUUAACUGUUACAGUCGUUUCUAGAAAUUGAACAACAGUAACAUACACAAUAUGAUUAUGUAAACCAUAAUGUCACAACAACUAUAUAGAAAACGAAAUGAAUCUCACUAUACGGUUUACAUUUUACGUGUUUUCAACUUUUUUGUAAGAAUUCAGAUUAUCAAUCAAUUCAGUAUAACGAUCGUCCAUAUUUUUUUUUUUUGUGCAACAAUGUUUUCAUUAAGAAAUUCAAACCAUUACAAGAAUAAAAACAACAUCGUACAAACCACGAUGUGCGAACUGAUCAAAUAAAACCCCGACAUUUAGUUCAAGGGAGUACAAGGAUAGAGACACAAACUUAAAAAAGUUUGAUAAAGCAUUAUGAAAGAUAUAGAAGUUGCCACCUACGAUCAAAUCUAAGGAAGACUCAAACCGCACUUCUAAAUCUUCAAGUAACACACGAUUAGUCACAAUAGCAUAUGACGUCGCAACACCAUCCAAAACCUCGACUCUCAUCGGAGAGAGGGUCGUUGUAUCUACCGGCCCCAAGUGGACCAUCACAUAAGAUAACAAACGGUUAGGAAAUUGGUAACUUUUCCCGGUUUUGAACACCGGAAGAGGAUCACCUCUUGUAAAGAGGGAUUUUGAUGGAACAAUUCUCUCCUUGGAGAAGGAGGAUGUGGAUAACGAUCUCUCUCGGCCCUGACGAGAGGAAGUUUGAAUGAACUUAACCAAAAUGGUUAAAGUUACUGGGCUGUUUGAUACAAGCUUUAGUCUUUCUGAAUUUUGAACCAAAUGAGUGCUUGAGCUUGUGAAUAUAGUAGCCAUGGAUGGUUGCUUGAUGAGCGUUAUGACCUCUGUCCAAAGACCAGAAAAAUCAACAGGAAACUUCGCUUGUACUUCCCUGCUGCAUAGCAAAUAACACUCGUUGAUGCUUUUGGACAGACCAACCAAAUUUAGCUUCCCCAUGAAGCUUUGUUCUGAUACAGACUGAGGAUAUUGAAUAUGAGGCUGGAGCGUAUCAAUCUCAGGUGGGUAGUAACCUGGAACAAGGUCAGGAGGGUCUGAUGGAUCCGGUGGUGGAAGCGGCUCCGAUGGUGACAUGGCCCAGAAGAGAAGAGCUUUGGCUUCUAACACCGACGGGAUUGAAAACAUGAGAAGUGAAAGGUACCAUUUAGUCGGUGGUCGGAGAUUGGAAGCCAAAGUCGACUGCGGAGUUUUGGUUACAGAUCUUCCCGGAGAGAGAGAAAGGUCCCUGUAGCAGAGAGAACAACUAGAGGAAAAAACACCAGAGGGGCAAUAGAGUUUAGAAACGCAGGAGACGAACCGCGGCGGGACACCAUUUUUGGAGAAUAAGAUUUCAGAUCCGGCGGUUGAUAGAUAGUUGAGCUUGAGAUCCGGCGGGUCUGCCUGCGUUUGUGGAGAAAGAUUGCUCGGUUGCAACCGUUGAAUCUUCUCGAGCAAGAGAGAGCAAAUAACUGUCGGAGGAACCAGAUCGAAAGAUGAGUACGGGAGCAGGUAAAUAGACUCGCUUGAGAAGGCCAUGGGAGCAUGACCAUUACAGCGGAAAAGAUCUCGUCGGCACAACAGGCCACCGGCGGAAGGAGAGAUAUGAUUCUUCGAGAGAGCUUGGUGUGACCCGAGAGAUAAGAGCGAUGCACAGAUCGGAACGGAGCCCAGGUCGGAGUCAGACCACCGAAGGCUACCGUUCAUAUUGAACGUUCGCCGGCGGCGCCUCGAAACCUGGGCCUGAGAGGUUUUUAAAUUAGGGCGAACUCGAAUAGCUUUUUAACGAUCGUCCAUAUAAUAUCCGAUUUUCAUUGAAGUUUGAAUUUGACAAUCACAUCAGAAAUAAGAGUGUUAAUUAGUUACAAGCAAAAGGUUAGGCCUUGACGUUCAUCGUGGAUAAUGGAAACGUCGCGUCCUCGAAGUCAAAGGUUUCUCAAUAAAUCAUCAAACCGAAAGUACGGAGGUUCGUGGAACUGACCGUCCGUCCCACGCGUUGUGUAGUUUCUUUUACAUUAAUUAACUUAUAAUCAUUGAUUGUUAUUGAUGGCAAAAAAAAAAAAAAUAGAUAAUUGUAAUAUACUAAGCAUUUUCAUGCACUAUGUUCAGUAAUACAAAUUUAAACAAUUUAUUUUAGAUUUUAUUAUUUUCUUACCAAUAUUUUAAUAAUUUUAUUUAUUUUAAAUAUAUAUAUAUAUAUAUAUAUAUUUUUUCGUAUGUUGACCAUCAUAUUAAUAUUGGUCCAGAUAUAUCAAAGGCAUAUAACAAAGCUUUUGAAAUGGAUGGCUAGAAAAUAGAUAAUUGUAGGAGUAGACCAAACUUCUUUUUUUUUGUCAAACGUUUUUACGUUUAUAGUCCCGUAACCGCCAGGCCGGUAUAUCUAACAUCUCUUUCUUUACUCACUGGUGGCGUGUACAGCGUGUGGGAUGUGUCCCAUUGUGUUCUCCGUUUCAUAGUCUAUGUGCUGUUUUUCAUGUGUUUUUUUACAUACAAACAAAAGUGAUAACUGAUAACAUUUUACUUUAGUUUAUUGAAAGACUAAUGUAUGAAUACAACAUACAAGUCGAAACGUAUACUCCAAAUUUUUUAAAACAAUCUACUUAAUUGGCUUUAACAACCGUGACUGGACAUGUUGCAUUUGUCACCACAUGAUUGCUCACACUUCCCAGCAACAUCCUACAGAAAAAAAAAACAUGAUAACGUACACAUUAUUCAUUAGUCAAACCCUUACUUGCUAUAGUCUAUGAUUAUGUGUGUAUACGCGUCUCUUUCGUGUAUUCAUGUAUAGAUAUAAAAAUGCUCGAUCAAUUUAGUAACGGAAGUAACUAUUUAAAUCAAAUAUAAAUCGAAUUAAUUUUACACCACAACAAAGCAGUUCAGUUCUUAAUUUAUAGGUUUCUACUUCCUCUAUAUAAUGAAAAAAUCGGAAAGCAAUUCAAACUAUGAUAACAAUGUAUUACCUUUUGAGAGGACCCAAGCCUCGACUGCCAAGAACAAUAGAAUCGAGUUUUAGAUUUUCGACGGCAUCGCAAAGUUUCUCCCUUGGAUCUCCCCAAUACACUUUUGCCACC
rnacentral:lncRNA from 1 species